UACAGAGGGGGCAAGCGUUGUUCGGAAUUACUGGGCGUAAAGGGCGCGUAGGCGGCCUUCUAAGUCGAACGUGAAAUCCCCGGGCUCAACCCGGGAACUGCGUCCGAUACUGGGAGGCUUGAAUCCGGGAGAGGGAUGUGGAAUUCCGAGGUGUAGCGGUGAAAUGCGUAGAUAUCUGGAGGAACACCGGUGGCGAAGGCGGCAUCCUGGA
rnacentral:rRNA from 1 species